rnacentral:lncRNA from 7 species
GCUUUUUCUCCUCUCUGCUUUUCUUUGUUACCGUCGGUGUCGGGAAUUCCGCUUCCGCACAAAUAUUUCUUUUGCUGUCAGCUUGCUCAACGGUUCUGUUUGUUUGGUGAGAUGUGUUCCUCUUUCUCCUUUGUUGUGAGUUUCCAUUUGGUAGGCAUCCUUUUCCAGAUUCCUUCGUGGAUUAGAUCCACGCUCCUCUCGUCGAGAUCGUCUUGCUUUUUUUCUGAGAUGGAGAUUGGGACCGAAAAGGCAAGUAUUUUUCUUUGGUAGUUUUGGCAUGUGCAGAUAGAUCAGAAAGUGCUUCUACAGUUUACCUCAUUUAACUCUAUUUUGGAGAUUGAAACUGAAAAGGCAAGUAUUUCUUUUUGGUAAAGUCUUUCGCAAGUGGACAUCUAGUUCCAAAUUUUUUUAAAGGGAUCUGGUUCCAAAUUCAUGCUUGGACCUGCCAGGAUUCUAUUGUUUUUGGCGUAUCCUCUUGCUUUGGUACAUGUAGAUCAGCAAGCAAAUGUUUUUUUAUUUCAUUUAAUUUCAAUGAGUGCAGGUGACGUUCUGUUUGUACUUUAUUGAACUUCAUUAUACUAUUUUCUUUUGGUAAAGUUGUUCGCAUCAAGUGCAUGUUGCAUUCUUUUUAGUUUUUAACGGUUCUGCUUUCAGCUUGCUCUUGGGUGCAUUUAUUUUUUAGCUGUGUUUCCAUUCCUCCAACUGUGUUUUCAUUCUUCCUUUGUCGACCAUUUCGACUUUGUGGACAACUAAUUUCCUUUGGGUGAAAUGAUCUGCACGAAGUUGAGACUUCGCUUUAUUUUGUUUAUGGACGCAUCAAGAUUCCAACACGCCGUUAUUUUUCUUCGCUGGUUUAGUAAUGAGGAAAUCCCUUUUACGGCCCUAAUUUUAGGGUUUAGAGUUUUAACUGAUAUUUUUUUAAAAGUUGUUCCUCUCUGGUCCCAACUCCAUACUAUGGUGUGUAAAUUUGCCGCAUCGCUUUUUUUUUCUGGAAAGCUCUAAAAAUAAGGAAAUUAUUUGCACAGUUUUUUAAUAAAAGAUAGCAUCUUGCACGGUUGCUUUUUAGAGAAAGAAAAGUAACCAAAUUCGGUUUUGUCCAAAUUAGUUUCAAUUUGAUACUUUCUCACGUUUUACUUCAUGUUUUUAUCGUUUGGGUUUACUAAAUUGCUUAGAGUUCAACAUCUUUCCCUCAGAACUCACUUUUUUUGUCUUUGUUCGACUUUCAUAGAAUUAGAUACAAUUUCCUGCUCGUUCCACACAAAUUUCCUCCUCUCAUUGUUUUUAUGUGAGUUUCCUUAGAUCAAUACGUGUAGCCAGGUCAACACAUACAGGUUGUGUUUGUUGCUACGUAAAGAAUGUCAUCUAGGCACGAGGACUACUAUCUCUAAUCAUUGGAGCUUUGUUUGGCAAGGUCAACCAUACCUAAGGGGUACUACAACAAGUUCAUGAUACUUCAAGCCUGGAAUUCCUGAGGCGCAUACCUACUACAACAGGCAAAACAAAAUAAAUUUUGGAUACAGUUCCUUCUAACACUCACUAUUUUUAUACCACAUUUCAAAUCUGCUCCUCUCUAAUCUUAUACCCAUAGUUAGCUAACAGUUUAAUAAACAACAGUCUACUAAGCUAGCAGUAGCAAUAUUUAAACUAAAAUUGUAAAUAAACCUUGUUUUUUACCAUUACCUCUUUAUAUAUUACAUUCAGACCAGUUUGGUCUCCCUCUUCAGACAAUAUUCAAUACUUAUAUUUAUUUUUUAACUAAAACUAAUAGCCACGGUUUCAUUUCGUUUUUUCUAUAAACAAAUCACUGAUAGAUGUUACUGCAAAAGAAAAAUCGCAGCUGACUAGAAUCAGUGUCUACAAAACAGUUCAUUUUUAAACGGUGUUAUAAUUGCUUGUAUUUCUUAGACACUAUUUCAAUUUUUUUAAAUGAUGAUACAUGCUAUCCUCUUUUUCCUAAAGCGGGUUACAGGACAUCCUAUUGUCUUCAAAUUUUUUUAAAUAAAAGUAUUGUUCAUACUACUCAUGCACAACUUCAAUACAAAACAAAUUAAGGUACACACCCUCUCCUUUUUUGAUUGAACUCUUAGGAUACCAUGUUCUCUUUAAAAAACCAAAAAAAUAUUUAGAUGUUGAGCCAAUCGUUCACAUCACACUGUUUACGCCAAAAUAGAAAAUAUAAGAGGAACUUUAACAAAAAAUACUAAAACUAAGUCUUAUCUGAUCAUGGUUGUGACAUCACUUGAAGGUUGCAAAACAAUGACCUCCAACUAAUACAACCCACAACAGCUGAAGAAGAAAUUCAGCUUUCUCAACCACCAAAUUUGGAAGACAAGACCGUUGAAAAGCUGCUCAACAUAGAUCCGGAUAUGUUUCCCGUACUCACUACUAAAUCCUCCUAUGUUUCACUUCUUUAACACAGAUAAUAUGCUUAUCUAACUUCGUAUAUUUUUUUCUCUUUUAUAAUGUAGGCAGAAGGCUAUAGAUGUAUUGUUACUAUAUCACGCAUCGUGCAAAAUAGCAGAUGGUGGUACCCAUCUUGCUCCAGGUGCCACAAAUCUUCAUCUCAAAUCUCAACUGGAUAUCACUGCACAUCAUGUGGCUGCACAAAUAUUAAGUUUAGGUAAAGCUGAGCACACACACUUGAUUUACCACCAUUUAUUUCGUUUUGAUAAAGUCUUAUCUUUACUACAUACUUAAUUGUUGCUUCGAAGCACUCAUAAUUUCAAUUGGCAGAUACAAGCUCAGCUUCAUUGCUACUGAUGGAACAUGCGAAGCAGAGUUCUUUUUUUUGAUAGCAUAGCCAGAAAAAUAGUAGGAGAACCUUAGGGCAACCUUGUUACAGCAGUUACAACUUCUGAGAGUCCCAGCAGCCCUAGCCGCUAUUGUGUGUCUGAAAUUUACUCUUGCAGUUGCCAUCAAUAUGUCAGCCUACUAUGUCAUGAACAGAGUAUUCUCUAUUCUAUCUAUUUUAACAAAUCAUGGAAGACAGACCUUCAUACCAUCUAACAUGCCUAGCCAUCCUCAACAAGAGUUGUAUACACAAGAUGAAGUACCUAGCCUUCCGGUCGGCCACACAAGACUCUCCAGCAACAUCAAUGGCAAAACUAUCUACCUGUAGCAACGAAAGAAACGAGUCUAUUCAACAGGCACGAUGACGUGUUCUAAUAUAUUCAGAUAUGCCACAUGACACAGGUGAUGACAGCGCAUAAGUGAACUCAACAAGCAAGAGAUAUCGUCACCACCAAAAUGGAUAAAACAUAGCCACACUAGCAAAGGCAUACCAGAUCUUACAAACCCCAAAAAGAAAAGCUCCUAAAUCGUCAUCAACUUCGUGAAGGUGUUUGCUUUUUGCGCACCUAUCAGGAGCACCAUCACUUUUGGAUCAUGAAUGCUUUCCUAUAGAUAUGAACCUACUGUUAUACUAUUUGUGGAUAUGUACAUAUUGACUUAACACCUGCAAGCACAUUGUUGCUAAGUGUUGAUGUAUGGUAGUUGAAUGCUACUUAGUAUGUAUUGUAGUCUAAAUCCACUCUACAGCUGGUAUCAACUAUUAUAUAAAAACAACGUCAUAUGCUUAUAUUUGGUUUCCUCC